rnacentral:tRNA from 1 species
GGGGUUGUGGCUUAGUGGUAGAGUGCUCACUUAGCAUGUGUGAGGCCCUGGGUUCAAUUGUCAGCCAGCACCA